CGGCGGACGGGUGAGUAACACGUGGAUAACCUACCUAUAAGACUGGGAUAACUUCGGGAAACCGGAGCUAAUACCGGAUAAUAUAUUGAACCGCAUGGUUCAAUGGUGAAAGACGGUUUUGCUGUCACUUAUAGAUGGAUCCGCGCCGCAUUAGCUAGUUGGUAAGGUAACGGCUUACCAAGGCAACGAUGCGUAGCCGACCUGAGAGGGUGAUCGGCCAUACUGGAACUGAGACACGGUCCAGACUCCUACGGGAGGCAGCAGCC
rnacentral:rRNA from 1 species